GCAACAAAUUUGCAAGUCGUAGGGUGACAAACCUGAAGGCGCAAUGAAAGUGAAAAAAUACCACCCAGUAAAAUGGGACAGUAUUGCCCGGUCUUGCGGCUACCGCCAAAGGAUCUGAGGUAGAGCAAAUUUGCUGCGACCCGAAAGAUGGUGAACUAUGCCUGCAUAGGGCGAAGCCAGAGGAAACUCUGGUGGAGGCUCGUAGCGAUUCUGACGUGCAAAUCGAUCGUCAAAUGUGGGUAUAGGGGCGAAAGACUAAUCGAACCAUCUAGUAGCUGG
rnacentral:ncRNA from 1 species